rnacentral:misc_RNA from 1 species
CGUGCGGAUGUAAAUGUGUGCCGGCAUGUGGACCAGGUGGCCCGCACCGGGCAUGGCGUCCGCCAGUCGCUCGGCGCAAUCGACCGCCUUCUCCGGCUGGGCCGCUUCGACGGCAUGAAUGUAGAAGUGGCAGGCGCCGGGGUGGUCUGGAUUGCGCUCGAUCGUGCCUUCAAGCCUCGACAGGAUCUCACGUGUGCCCGGCUCGGGUUCACCAUCGAGCGUCCAGUAUGCCCAUGGACGCAGGUUCAUUAUCGCCUCGGCAUGAAGUGUCGCGGCUUCAAGGUCGU